rnacentral:rRNA from 1 species
UACGUAGGGUGCGAGCGUUAAUCGGAAUUACUGGGCGUAAAGUGUGCGCAGGCGGCUUCGCAAGUCGAGUGUGAAAUCCCCGAGCUUAACUUGGGAAUUGCGCUCGAAACUACGGAGCUGGAGUGUGGCAGAGGAAGGUGGAAUUCCACGUGUAGCGGUGAAAUGCGUAGAGAUGUGGAGGAACACCGAUGGCGUAGGCAGCCUUCUGGGCCAACACUGACGCUCAUGCACGAAAGCGUGGGGAGCAAACAGG